rnacentral:lncRNA from 1 species
UGAUGGGAACGGAUGUUUAAAAUCUUUGCGGAGGUUGAAAUUCAUCUUUUUAUAAAGAUGGCCUUCUAACAAGCAUAAUAAGUAACUACUACAUUUUCAUGUUUUGAAAACUGAUUUUUUUAAUAUUUAAUUUUUAGGCAAUUAUUGAAGGAAUUCAGCAAGUUUUUACUGAUUUACAUACUUUGGGUAAGUGAGAUGGAAACUCUCUUCUUCCUUUCUUUGUCAUUUCACUUAAUUAUGUUAUGUAAGUUGAUCAUCGAAAAGGUGCUACAUUUAUCAUUCUUUCAUUAAAUUUAUUCCUCUUAUUUUAUUAGAGCUUAGUUUUUCGUGUUUCAUAUCAUACGUAGCUAGCUACAAUCUUUGGAAGAAAAUUAUUAUAGAUAAUAAUGGUCAUAUCUAAGUAUGUUGAUUACCUAAUGUUUUAUUGAAUCCAUGUUAGUAAUGUUUAGGUACACUUCUUAAAUUUAGAGCAAGAGUUCCUUGAUAUGUCAUAUACCAUCAGAUGCUAUAUUAUUUUAAUUAGUGUUACAUAAUUCAACAUAUCUUAUUUUCCAAAACAAAUAACUAAAAGUUAAAUGAAAAGAGUUAGUUGUCACCCUUGUAUUUGUAUAGAGAAACAUAUAUUUAGAUAUUUUAGUCUAGAAGAUUAUAUUUGAAAUCCUUCUUUUCAUUUAUUUUUGGAUGCAAAAGUAAGCUUUAUAUAGAAACAUAUUAAUCAAUACAAGAUUUAUCAUAUUUAUAAAAAUAUAAUGUGAUAAAUAUUUAUAUCGACAUGAUAUUAGACUUAUAUAAAUUUUAGAUCAUAAUAGAAGACAAACGUGCAGCGCACGUUUUCAGAACUAGUCUAGUAUAGGUAGGAAUUGAGAUAAUUUGCUCCAGAAAGUUGAUUGUUUAAUAUGUAUCAGCAGGAUGUUUAUAGCAAUUCAUUUAUGAUCUUGUGACAAAUAUCAGUCUUCAUCUUAGUUGGCUAUUACGACACACUUUUCUUGUCUAUUAACAUAUGUUCUCUCUCACAUCUUGUAGACUGAAAUAUCUCCACCAUAGAAGUCGAUGGAGAAUACAUUUAAUGAUUAAAGCGAAUGAUGCUCUCACAAAUGUAAGUUUUUCUUUGUCCUCAGAAGCUUUCUAUUUUUGUUUACUUCCCUUUGCUUUUCCUUUGUUAAGAUCUUCUUGAGCAGUAUGGAGUAUUUAUUGCCACUAUGAAGUCGAGAAAUCAUCUUCAGUUCGAGAUAAAUUUAAUUUUAGAUAACCAAUAAAAAAACAAAGGUGAAAAAAUCUUUAUAUUCGUGUGGGAACACUGUAAAAUGAAAUCUAAUAUACAUAGGAAUUAAAAUAAUCUGCUCCACAAAAUCUUGUUCUUUCCGUUUCAGUGAGUUUAGAGUUAUGCACAUGUUCACUAUUGAAUUCAAAGCUUUAAUAGAAUUCAAAGGUGUACAAUACACAAGGUUUGUUUCCUAUCUAUCAAAAAUAUAUAAAAGUUUGCCUCCCAAUAAAUUUAAUACCUAUAAACAUCAGCACUAUUCAAGUUUUUAUUAAUGAUUAUUGGAUAUCAACUUAGCAGUUUUUUUCUUUGUCAGGAUUUUGGUAACAGUAUAUGUAAGCUAUUACCGCUCUAGCUCAGUUUGUACCAGGAAAGUUCUGCUGCAAUUCUCUAUUGAAUAGACCGUUGCUACAAUGUGGUCUGACAGCAAAGUGUAAGUGAAUAAACAUAGUUUCGCAGUUUUGUCGCUGACUGUAAAUAUUAAGUUUAUGCUUUAAACUGUUUAAACAUAAAUCUGUGUGAUCAUUAGAAUGAUGUAUAUCUUUGAUAUUAAUGAUGUUUAAUAUUCUUUUCAAAAUAUAAAUUAUGUUGUGCUUAUCAUCAGACUUGCUGCAAAUGGGACGUACAGCUCUGAUGGAACCCAAAGGUACAUGAUAAAAAGUUUUUAAGUAACACACAAGAGAGAUAUUGACAUUAUGGUCAUAGAUUAUAAGGAAAGAUAUUACUUUUUCAUUGUUAGGAUUUUGACAAGGCUCGGUGCUCAUUUGGGAAGUGAAAAGUUUCGAAGGUCUCUCUGUUCAAGUCAAGAAGUGAAAGCUAUUGAACUAUGUAUGUAAUAGCUUGUAUUGUUUACUUUGGGUCCUAUGCUCCUUCGACUUUAAAAUGCCUCAUUUGGGUCUAAUGUCACUUCUUUUUAUUCCAACAAUCAAUAUCGUUCUUGCGUUUUGUUGAUGUGGUAUAUGCCUAGGCUGCUACAAUGUUGUUCUUUUUACUCUAGAUACCAAGACGGAAAGCAAGAGAUGACACAAUUAUUGAACUUUCUGUAUUGAGAAAUCGGAAUUUCUGGAAAACUAUACUAGUGAAUUAUAAUCCCGGGAGCCUUUCCCCUCAAGCUCUCAAGAAAAGGCAACAAAUCGUCACUCAAAUAAAUUAGUAGCGGGUUAUUUGGGAAGCGAAAAGUUUCGUAGGUCUCUCUGCUCGAAUUGAGAAGGGAAAGUUGCUUUCAUCUUAAUACCAUAUGGUCUGAUACAUCACUAAUCUCCACUGCUCGCAAUGGAUAUAAAUUACUGCUCUUUGCGGAUUGAGACUGACACACAAUUAACUAAUCUGGCUCAUAUAUGGACACGAGUCUCCACUCAUCUAUUAUCUUUGAUUAUAUUGGACCACCUUCGACACGAACCGUCCCUGUAAAUUUUCCAUUCAAGUUUAUGUGAAUAAACAAAGCAUUUGUGUUGAGUUCGAAAGAGAUUAGGGCGUCAUGCGCUAGCUUACAAUUGCAUAUUAUAUGUUAAUAAAUCAGAUAACAAAAACUUGUACUAAAAAUCAAAAUAUUAUUAUAUGAUUUGACCAAAUGACCUACAUAUUUAAAAACUAAUAAAAAGACAUUAAAACUUGAAAGAUUUCAAAGAAAUCUUGAAGAAUUAUUUGGGAAAUUUUUCUCUAUUUUCACUGAACCAAAAUUGUACAAAGAGUUGCUUACUUAUCCAUGUAAACUAAGGACUAGAAAGUCAAUUUAAAAGGAAGUAGGUAACCAACUCUGACUAUAUACUUUACAGCUCAUCAUAUUCUAAAAUAAUCUAAAAAAUCUCUUCUUAUACAAUGUGAAUUAAUAUAAGCAACGUUGUAUAUUGAAAUGGGCUGCUGAAAUGGCAUUUGUGUGCUUCAGAUGGGAUGAAACCCAAAGAUAAAAUAUCAGCCCCAAGAGACGUGCAUUCUAGAAUAAGGCUCUCAACCCGUGUCCGAAUAAAGCUCAUCUUCUUCAUUCUUGGUACUGCCAGUCGGUGAUCAUGAGUUCCAACAAAACUGUAGAGAGUAAAGACUAUCUGAACGAUUAUAUUGUGGAUGUUAUUAUGUUCAUAGUGUGAGAAGUUGGGUUUUCUAUUUAUAGGACGUUUAGAAUAAACCAAAUAUGGAAAAUAAUUAUAUUUUUUUUUCAGAAAAAAUUCAAGCAUUUAUGUUAAUACUUUGACUUUUCUUUUAUGAAAAUAAACUUCAAAUAAGGUAAAAAAAUCAAAGCAACCAAAAACAAAGGAAAAGAGAGAGAUUACAUAGUAUCACACAUAGCAAGGCAGCAAGGCUAAUAUGACACAAACAAGACCAUAGUAGAUAAGUAUGGUGCACGUCAUGGUUUAUUUUGUAAAACUACGUAUUAAAUGAAUAUAUUUUUUAGAAUUGAUCUAAUAUUACUUGUUAUCCAUGCUACUAAAAAUAAGAAGUUCAAGUCAUCAUCAACUAAGUUUUGAGUUGGUAAGAAUCACUGAUACUACAAAUUUUCUUGAUAAAAGAGUGUUUACAACUUAUUAAACCUCAUAGGUUUGAAAGCCAUGAAUCAAAUAAGAAUAAGAAGUCUGGGACCCAAUGGCAAUAUGUAACUCGUAAGUUUUGAAAGACAUUUUAUUAGAGAGAAAUUUACGUUGUUUCUAUGUUUGUGUUUUGUUGGAUGUUUGGUGAAAAAAGUAGAUCAUCUCCUAUUGCAUUCUUUAGUUGGUUUAUAACACAAUGAGUGAUUCAACAUCUAUUUAUAUUUUUGAUUUAGAAAUAUUAUUAUACACUUGUAGAUAAAACUUCCAACAACAUAGAAAUAUGUUAAAUCUGAUUUACUUAUGCAACAAAUAUUAUAUCUUACGGGUAGAACGAACAAGGAACAUGAAAACUAAAUGUUUUUGUUAUCGGGUUGACUAAACAGGAUACAGAAAAAUCAUGUCUUUGAAUUGCAUAACAAAGAGUGUACUGAUAUUUUAUACUUUAUAAUAUCAUCACACGAAUUUUAUACUGAAGAUGUGUGCCUUUUUGUUGUCAAUUUUUUUGCAGUGAUACAAAAGCAGAUAGUGAAGACAGGUCAAAGAUUCUACUUUGAUGAAUUCUUUUUCAAUUCUUCAUCAAGAGACGAUUUAGAGUUUUUGGUAAAACUUUCUCUUUCACCAAGAGUCUCCAGCAAAAUGGGCAAUAAUUAGUUUAUCAGGAGUUCAAGUAUAUCUCGAAUUGGUUAUGGGUUAUUGCAAGUGCUUUUGGUUUUUACGUUUCUUUUCUAAUUUUUGUGGUGUUUGAAACAGAUCAAAAAAUAUUUUUAAACACUUAUUUUUAGACCCAAAAGAAGUAUAAAAAUAAGCUAAAGGCCAAAGGUAGGUAUUCCCAACUUAUGAGUUUAGCUUUUAGCUUAUAAGAUACUUUUAAAAAGUUAAUCCAAACACCCUCUUAAACUUUUAAAUUAAUUUUAAUUAAUAAGAUGUUAGCUAUUUGUUUAUAAUAUAUUAUCUUGAUAUGGUUGUAAAAACUUUAUUUAUCAAUAUGAAUAUUUGAAUUGUUUAUUUCAAAAUUCUAAAAAUAUUUUUGAUAAAAAGUAAAAUAGGUUCUCUUUCUUUAUUUUUAAUUUAAAUUUUGAGUUUUUUUCUUACAAAAAGGUACAAAAUUUAUAUAAAAUAGAAUAAAAAGGCAACUUUAAAUUAUUAUUAUUAUGUUUAUGUGUAUAUAUGUAUACCUGGACACGUUCGUUGCACGUGUAUUCCAUAUUAAUUCUUAUAAAUUCAUAUUAUUUAAAAAUAACAAACUUUUAUCUUAUACAUAAUUCAAUAACAGUUUCUUAAAUUAAAAAAAUAUCAAUAUAUAGCUAAAGAUAAAAUUCCUCAUGUUCCUAAUCUCAUAGCACCUUUGUAAAUGAUAUCUCUUCGUGUAAUUUCAUCUCCAAAUAUAUUGUUUGCCACAUUUGUAUCAUUUCUCAAUAUUUUAACAAUAAAAAAGAAAAUAAUAUAAGAAGAUACAUUUAAAGAAAGUUUAUAGAACGAAAAGGAAAGUACAUUGAAUUAAAUAUAAAAGUGAGAGAAGAAGAAUAGCAAAUUGGAUAUCAUAUCAAUUGUUCUAAUGGCUCAUAAUAGUGGUUUAAAUUCCACAAUGUCAUUAUAAGUUGUUCAAAAUUGUAAAUGAAUAAAAUUAUUAAUGAUAAAAAUAGUGUGGUAGAGAAAGAAAUCAAGUGUGUGAGGCAUCUGAAAAUAAGUAAAUUCAUUAUUUAGAGCCAAUAUAUCUUAUAUCAUACUCUUUCAAAUAUGAUUUCUUUUUACACCUUUAAAAUUACUUAUUUUCUCUUUUUUCAUUUUCUUCUCUUCUGAAGUUGAUUUGCAAUCAAUCUCUGACGGGCAAUAUCCAUCUUUGUAAGUUGACUCCUAAAUAGUAACAGUGAAGAAAUGUAUUUUUCUCCAUGCCUUGAGAAUUCUUUUUUCUUUUCUCCCCAAUUAUUUUCUUUCACAAUCCACAAACUUUAGAUUUUGUAUGCAACUUAUAAUUGUUGUGAGCUUUUAUAAGGUGUAGUAAAAAUGAGAAGUCUAUACUUAAGUAUUACUUAUUAACAAUGGAAUCUCAAAGGAUCAAAACAGAUCAUAAUUACAACAUGCACUAAUUAUUUGGCAGAUGAAACAAUUCUUCCGAUUAUUACUCAAUUCAAUGCAAGUGAUCAGAUUAUAUUUAACAUAAAGCUUUGUUAUUAAUUUCAAGUUCUUCAAAUUCAUUAUGUUUUUAUCAUCUAAUGUUUAAUUAAUUAAAUAAUUUAUAACAUUUUAAUUUAGAAUAGGGGUAAAAUGGUAACCAAGCAUUUAUAUAUAUAUAAAAUAAAUCAACGAAGCAAUGUCGAAGGACACGCAUAUAGGGUGUGUCCGCUCCUGAUUAAGUUAAGGUUUUAUAUCUUUAUGAAUAUUAAAUUAUCUUCCAAAUUCUUUUUUUUUGGGGGGGGAGAAGGGGUCUACCGCAUAUGGCAAUUUAGAUCUCUAAAAUCCGCACCAAGAAGGGAAAAUCGUUGAAUCUUUUAAUUUGCUAGUAUUGUUCGCUUUGUGCUAGGCGCACACAAUUUUAAAAUAUUAUAUAAGAGUGAAAAUUAUUUUCGCUUUCCAACUUUGCUGUAAAAAUUGAACUCCUUUUCAAUUUUAAACAACUAGUAUACGUGCUCGUGUGUUGCGCAGUUAGUUGAUAAAUGCAAUUGUAAAUAUUAAUUUAUUGACAAUUUUAAAGUUUAACUUAUUAUUAAAUAAUAUUAUCAAAUAAAUGCUUCACAUUAAAUAUGUAUACAUAAUACCUUUAACAAUAUAUCAAAAUAAAAAAUAAAAAAUAAAGAUUCAAAUCCAGGGAAUUAAACACCAAUCAUCCUACAAAUAAAACUUCAAAUCAUUGAAAGUUAUAAAUAAAAAAAAGGAAAAAUAAUCAUCAAAAACUAAUGGCUUGCAAUAAUUAUUGAUAAGAGAUUUUAAUGCUUAAAAAGUUGCUAUAUCUAUUUAUCAAAUUUCACUGAUAGUGUUAAUUCUAAGUAUGAAAUUGAUUAUAGUGGCUUUGUCUCAACAACUACAAAGUCACAUCCAAAGAAGAAGGAAAAAAGUUAUAUUGUCAAAAUUUUUUAUGCAUAAAUAGAAAUAGAAAACAAAUAAAUUAUUUUACACUUUUGAUAAUAAGUGUUUCCUAAUUAUCUUUAUGUAAAUAUUUCAUUAACAUAUUCAUUUAUAUAAAAUUUAUAAAAGAGACUUCUUUUAAUACUAAUAAACAUAAACAAAUAUUAAUUAAUAAGCAUAAACAAAUAUCAACUAUUAAUAAAUAACUAAAUGUGUAUGAAUCUUUUUUAGUAAUUUGUAUAUUUAGUUCGUGAUUUAUAUUUUUUGAUUAGUUAAAAGAUCAACUGAUAAAAUAAAGUAUUUAAAUACUUAUGAUAAUAUGGUUAAACAUGAGGUAUGUAUCAAAAAAAAUAAUCUUAAAACAUAUUUAAUUUGACGUAAUUAUUUAAAAUAAUCAUAAUUAUUUAUUUCAUGAUUUUUUAUUUUUUAUUUAUUUAAAAUAAAUACUGAAAAAUAAAAUGUUAUUAACACAAAUUUUUAUUGAUUAUAGGACUGUGUAGUAAUGUAUUGGUUAUGGGGAGUUAUAAAAAUAUUUUUUUGUCUUUUCAUUAACGUAUUCAUUUAUAUAAAAUUUACAAAGAGACUCCUUUUAAAACUAAUAAGCAUAAACACAUUUUAAUUUAAUAGCAUAAAUUUAUUAUAAUUAAGUAAUUUAAUGUGGUGAGAAUGCAUGCUAAUUAGUACUAUGUGUUAAGAAUUUAUGUGUAAAAUACAUAUCGUGUAUUAUUUUUAGCUCCCAAUAUUAAACAGAACUUUAUUUCAUUCGAUUUGGACUCGGAACAUCUAAAACAAAUUAAGUUUUUUAUUUAUCUUUUUUUUCCAGAGAACUCAUUUUAUUGUUUCAUCAAUGACUUGAAUUCAUGUUUUUAGUGGAGGUACAGAGUGUUUAUCAACUGAGAUAAAGUAUCUAAAUUUUAACUAGUUUUAGAUAAGUAAAUUUUACCGCAAAAAAAAUCAAAUAUUUCAUAUCUGAAUACACAAUCAAAAUUAAAAGAUUUGACCUUUCAAAUUUUUUUUGUGUCUCGUAAACUAAAAAAACGAAUAAUAUUUAAGUAGUUAUGGUUCCUCAUGAAUAAAUUAUAUACGGAGUUCAAUAUAUUUCAUAAACGACACAUUUCAUUACAAUAACAACAUAUUCUAUAUAGUUCUACGUAUAAAAUGUGAUUUGAAAAUAAUAAAAUGUACGUAGACCUUACUCUGCUACGGAGGUAGAGAGGUAACGACACAAUUGAUCAUCAUUGCUUAGAAAAACUUACCUAAUUAACAUUUAAAAAUUAUUAUAGUUAACUAAUUAAUUGUCCUCUCAUCUGUUCCAAUUGACUGGACAGAUUUUAGUUAUAAUAUGUUAGUGAAAAAUUACAAAAUUACAAGAUUACAAUUGAAAAUAAAAAUGAAGAAAUAAAUCUCUUCAGAUUGAGGCGUGGAUAUGUCGCUCUCUUUAAGGAGAUUCAAGCCCACUUAAGCAAAUGUUUUUCAUCGGUCCAACAGUAGUCCUCUUUACUUGUCCCCUCCAGGAUACAACAGCCUAAUCACAAAGUGUAACUCAACAAAUUUUGGACAAGAGUUGAGUUCAAACCUCCACAAAAAGAACACCUUCCUUCAACUAAUAAAAACUCUCUUUUUGGACAAACUUUAUGCACUAUGAUCUAUAUUUUUCUUGUGUGUCAACCAAACAAAGACCACCACUAUUUAUAGUUGCGGAUGUCUUCCUAGCAAUGAAUAGGAAGAUAAUGGGUAGUAAAUAAUGAAGAUAAAUGGUAUUAGAAAUUACAUAUGUUAUAAGGUAUAAUGGAGAAAUAAAGAAUGAGAUAACAAAGAUUGAAUGAAAAAGAAUUAGUGGUCAUGGUUGACCACCUUCUGCCACUAACAGUAACCUCCAAUGGCCAACGUUUUGUAACCAUCAAAUAAAGGGUAAUAAUGCCUAAAUAACACAAGUGAGUAAUGCCUAAGGUUGCAGCAAUGAAAUAGAGAUUGCUCCAACACUUGUCAUUUGCCUCUCUCCCUAGAGAAUUUCGCUUGUCACUCUCCCAGAUCUCGCUCGUCACUCUCCCUCGCCCUCUCUCACUUUAUACAACACAAUGUAUAAAUUGCGUUUGUGUUUGUAUAAAGCGAGAGAAAACUGUAUAUAAAAAUACAAAUACAUAUAUUUUUGUCCUAUACACUAAUAAUUAUACAAAUACAGAUAUUUCCCUACCAGUUCUCUUUUGCCUUCCUCUCGUUCUCGCUUUAUACAAAUACAAUGUAUAAUUUGUGUUGUAUAAAUCGAGAGAGAGAGAUUUGAUAUACAAAUGUUUAUUUUGAUUCAAUUGUAUACAAAUUCAAAUUUUAUGCAGAUAUACAAACACAAUCAAGGAUACAUAUACAUAGUAGUUACAUAUAUGCUGGUCAACAUUUUAAUAUUAAUAUUUUAUAUAUUAAUUUGUUAAAAGUUUGGAGUCAAAUGGUGCCUUUGCUGUCAAGUUAUCCGUUGGUGGUAAUUCAUUUGUCUUAACAAUUGGAAAUAUAUUUGGAGCAUUACUCCAUUUGGAGUAAGUGCUGAUGUUACUGACUGUUUCUCUUGCAGCAUCGUUUAGUGGCAUCUUGGCCAUAAGUUCUCCAUAUUAUUUCUCCAUUAUCUCACUCUUUAUUCCUCCAUUAUACCUUGUAACAUAUGUAACUCGUAAGAUCACUAUCUUCACUAUUUACUACACCAUUAUCUUCCUAUUCAUGGCUAGGAAGACUUCUUCUAGUAUAAAUAGUGGUGGUCUUCAUUUGGUUUGGGAGAUACAAUACACACAAGAAAAAUAUAGAAUGCAUAAGUUUGUCAAAAAGAUAGUUCUUAUUAGUUGGAGGGAGGUGUUCUUUUUUGUGGAGCUUUGGACUCAACUCUUGUCCAGAGUUGUUGAGUUAUACUUUGUGAAGGCUGUUGUAUCCUGGAGGGGACAAGUCAAGAAGAAGUACUGCUGGACCGGUGAAAACAUUUGCUGCAGUGGGCUUGAAUCUCCUUAAAGAGAGCGAGAUAUCCGCGCCUCAGCCUGAAGAGAUUUAUUUUCUUCAUUUUAUUUUUCAAUUGUAAUCUUGUAUUUUUGUUAUCUUGUAAGUUUUCACUAACAAUUUUAAGGAGAUUCAAAAUGGCUACAAUUGAAAAAAAUGCGGAUGUCAAGAUGGGAGACCUUAACAAGCCAUUUCGGUUCAAUGGUAACCAUUUUAAGAGAUGGAAGGGUAAAGUACUUUUCUACUUGAGUCUUCUCAAUGUUUCUUAUGUGUUAACUGAGAAGAAUCCUAAUAAAAUAGACAUCACCUUUAUGAAUGAUGAUGAAACUAUUUCUCAUCUAGAGAAAGUGGAAAAGUACGAUGGUGAUUCCUAUAAGUGUCGGUAUUAUAUUCUUAAUUGUCUAUCUGAUAAUUUUUAUGAUUAUUAUGAUAGAACUUACUCUAGUGCAAAGAAAAUUUGGAAAGCAUUGCAGAGUAAGUAUGAUACCGAAGAGGCUGGAACGAAAAAAUAUGCAGCUAGUCGAUUUUUUCGUUUCCAAAUGAUGGACAACAAAUCAGUGGUAGACCAAGCGCAAGACUUUAUAAUGAUUGUUGGAGAGCUUAGGUCCGAGGAGGUUAAAAUUAGAGAUAACCUUAUUGUUUGUGGCAUAGUGGAUAAACUUCCACCUUCUUGGAAGGAAUUUCAAAAAACUAUGCUCCACAAACAAAAGGAAACCUCUCUUGAAACCUUGAUAAUGAAAAUCCGCAUGGAAGAAGAGGCAAGAGGCCAAGAUGCACUUUUACAAACAGAAGAGAACAACAUCACAACGAAGGUAAAUUUAAUUACUUCAAAUAAUGCUACUCCUGAAUCUCACAAAAAUACUUCUUUGAAGCCUAAGAAGAAAAAAUUCAAGAAAAAUAAUGGUAGACCUCCCAAGAAAAAUAAUGGUGAAAAUAACCAAGCACAAAAUCAACAAGUUCAAGACAAAGGACCGUGCUUUGUUUGUGGCAAGAGUGGGCAUAUUGCUCGAUUUUGCAGAUUCCAAAAAUGUGGUCCNNNNNNNNNNNNNNNNNNNNNNNNNNNNNNNNNNNNNNNNNNNNNNNNNNNNNNNNNNNNNNNNNNNNNNNNNNNNNNNNNNNNNNNNNNNNNNNNNNNNNNNNNNNNNNNNNNNNNNNNNNNNNNNNNNNNNNNNNNNNNNNNNNNNNNNNNNNNNNNNNNNNNNNNNNNNNNNNNNNNNNNNNNNNNNNNNNNNNNNNNNNNNNNNNNNNNNNNNNNNNNNNNNNNNNNNNNNNNNNNNNNNNNNNNNNNNNNNNNNNNNNNNNNNNNNNNNNNNNNNNNNNNNNNNNNNNNNNNNNNNNNNNNNNNNNNNNNNNNNNNNNNNNNNNNNNNNNNNNNNNNNNNNNNNNNNNNNNNNNNNNNNNNNNNNNNNNNNNNNNNNNNNNNNNNGUCUAAUCAAUAUGUNNNNNNNNNNNNNNNNNNNNNNNNNNNNNNNNNNNNNNNNNNNNNNNNNNNNNNNNNNNNNNNNNNNNNNNNNNNNNNNNNNNNNNNNNNNNNNNNNNNNNNNNNNNNNNNNNNNNNNNNNNNNNNNNNNNNNNNNNNNNNNNNNNNNNNNNNNNNNNNNNNNNNNNNNNNNNNNNNNNNNNNNNNNNNNNNNNNNNNNNNNNNNNNNNNNNNNNNNNNNNNNNNNNNNNNNNNNNNNNNNNNNNNNNNNNAGUUUUAGGGUUAAUCCCAAUGAUUAAAAUACAUUUUGAAAUGUGUGAGGCUUGUAGUAAAGCCAAAAUCACUAAAAGGCCUCAUUUUCAAGUUGAAAGAAAAACUGAUUUGUUAGAUUUAGUUCAUACUGAUAUUUGUGAACUUGGUGGAAUUUUAACUCGUGGAGGUAAUAGAUAUUUUAUCACUUUCAUUGAUGAUUUUUCUAAGUUUACAUAUGUUUACUUGAUGAAAAAUAAAAGUGAUACUUUUGAAAAUUUCAAAACUAUCUUCAUGCGGUUGAAAAUCAGUUUGGAAGAAAAAUAAAAAGAAUUAGAAGUGAUAGAGGCCGUGAAUAUGAGUCAAAUGAGUUUAAUUCUUUUGUUAGAUCAUUGGGAAUAAUUCAUGAAACUACUCCUCCUUACUCUCCUUCAUCUAAUGGAGUAGCGGAAAGGAAAAAUAGAACUUUGGUUGCCAUGCUUAUUGAGUCACAUGCACCUUUAAAUUUUUGGGGUGAAGCUAUUUUAACUGCUUGUUAUGCGUUGAAUCGUGUGCCUCAUAAAAAGUCUAAAUUGACACCUUUUGAAUUUUGGAAAGGUUACAAGCCAAGUUUGGGAUAUCUAUUAACGCAAUUUAAAUUAAAAUUCUAUUCAACUGUCUCCAAAAGCAUCACGUCUUGUUUACACUUGAAAUUAAAAAAUUACCUUAUAAGUUGUUAAAAAGAAAAUUUUCGUAGUAGAUUUUCAUGUGAGAGAUCAAACACUUAAACAUCAAUUAAAGAAUAUGAUGCAAAAAAUCAAGAAACUAAAUGGAAAGAGCUUUGAUCUUCAAGGGGAUUAAAACUUGUGAAGAAGAGUCCCUAUUACAUUACAACAUCAAUUUGACAUCAAAGUCCUAUAUUUCUUAUUAACAAUUUGCAUUAAGCCUAGUGUUUUAAUGAAGGACAAAAAGUUCAAUCAACAUUUCUAGAAAAGGGUCUUAUAGUAUAAUUGAUUGAUAGAUACUAGAAUUGCUAAUGUGCUUCUUCAAGGAACUCUGUCACUUAACAUUGAGCUCCAAUGAACAUUGAGAUGUUAUCCGCGAGUGUGUUGCACACAUGUACGUAUUUGGCUGAAUUUUCCAAAAAUGUAAAAAUAGCACAGCUGAACCAUGUAUUGAUGUUUAAUUAAAUGAUACAAGUCUUUGGUCACUAAAUGGUCCCCGUUUUUUACAACCACCAAUUGAGAAAGCAAUGAAUAGGCACUAAUUACAACUUCUUGUUUGCAAAUUUACUAGCAAAAGAGAGAGAAAUCAGUGAUCAUUCUUGUUUGCAAAUUACUCUUAGCUUUAACAGGUAAAGUGAAAUUGUUAGUAAUUUAACAUACAAACAUUCAUCUCCUGAAAUUUCUUAAAAUCAUUUUGUGUUUUGAUUUGCAGAUUUCAGUAAAAUGGAGGUUGGCUUAGCAGUUGGUGGUGCAUUUAUCUCUUCAGCUUUGAAUGUUCUCUUUGAUAGGAUUACUCAUCUGACCUAAGCAAGAGGGUGCUGCAUAACAUACUGCCAAGACUAACAUCCUUAAGGGCAUUAUCAUUGUCAGGUUAUUACAUUGAGGAGUUGCCAGAUGACUUGUUUAUCAAAUUAAAGCUCCUCAGAUUUUUGGACCUUUCUCAGACAUGUAUUGAAAAGUUGCCAGAUUCCGUUUGUGCAUUGUAUAAAUUGGAGACACUUCUCUUGUCAUUUUGUACCUCUCUUGAAGAGUUACCGCUGCAGAUGGAAAAGUUGAUUAACUUGCGUCAUCUUGACAUAAGCAACACUUGGGUCUUGAACAUGCUGCUACAUCUGAGCAAGUUGAAAUGCCUCCAAGUGCUAGUGGGAGCCAAGUUUCUUGUAGGUGGUUUGAGAAUGGAAGAUUUGGGUGAAGUAGAGAACUUGUAUGGAUCUCUAUCAGUUUUAGAGUUGCAAAACGUGGUUGAAAGAUGUGAAGCUGUGAAGGCAAAGAUAAGGGAGAAGAAUCAUGUUGAGCAGUUAUCAUUGGAGUGGAGUGAAAUUAGUAGUGCUGACAAUUCACAAACAGAAAGAGACAUUCUUGAUGAGCUACGCCCACAUGAAAACAUAAAAGAAGUCGAAAUCACCGGAUAUAGAGGAACAAAAUUUCCAAAUUGUCUAGCUCAUCAUUCGUUUCUUAAGCUAGUAGAAUUGUCUCUUAGCAACUGCAAGGACUGUGAUUCCUUGCCAGCACUAGGAGAACUUCCUUGUUUGAAAUUCCUUUCGAUUAGAGGGAUGCAUGGAAUAACAGAGGUGACACAAGAAUUCUAUGGCAGUUCAUCCUCCAAAAAGCCUUUUAACUGUCUUGAGAAGCUUGAAUUUGAAGAUAUGCCGGAGUGGAAGCAAUGGCACGUACUAGGAAGUGAGGAGUUCCCUAUACUUGAGAAGCUUUCAUUUAGAAAUUGUCCGAAGUUGAUGGGGAAGUUGCCUGAAAAUCUUUCUUCUCUGACAGAAUUGAGAAUUUCAAAGACGCCUCUUUUUGACGAGGCUGGACUGUUUGCAUCCCAACUUCAGGCUGACAGAAUCGUUGUAUUAUCUAUUGAGUAUUGUAACUCUGUUACCUCCUUACCUUUUAGGAUACUGCCCAGUUCCUUCAAGAGAAUAUGGAUAUCUCACUGCCAGAAAUUGAUAUUGGAGGAGUCAGUUGGUUAUUGUAACAUGUUUCUCGAGGAAUUGACACUGCAAUUUACAACAACUUCAGAUCAAGAAAUGCACAAAACUGGUGAAUGGCCGAAAGGAGUGGUGUUUACAGACACUCCCCUGUCUCAGAGAGUUAAGCAUCUACCAUGAUGGCGGUGACGAAGAUAUCCAACAUUGGGAGUUGCCUUCCUCUAUUCAGAGACUUACCAUAGACAAUCUGAAAACAUUAAGCAGCCAACAUCUCAAAAGUCUCACCUCUCUUCAACAUCUACGUAUUACUAAUUUACCUCAAAUUCAGUCACUGUUGGAAGAAGGCCGGCUUCCCUCCUCUCUUUGUGCGCUAAGUUUAGAUUACCAUCAUGAGCUCCAUUCACUAAGUCUUUCGCACCUCACUUCUCUUCGACGUCUACACAUCACUGCUUGCCCUAAUCUCCAAUCACUUUCCGAAUCAGCACUGCCCUCCUCCCUCUCUCAGCUGAUCAUCUUUGAUUGCCCUGAUCUCCAAUCACUUCCAGUAAAAGGGAUGCCCUCUUCCCUCUCUUAUCUAUCUAUUUCCAACUGUCCAUUGCUCAAACCACUCCUAGAAUUUGACAAGGGGGAAUACUAGCCAAAUAUUGCUCAAAUUCCCAUCAUAAAUAUCCAUGGGAAACACCUGUAAACAAAUGAUGCUUUGACAAAUGUAAGUUAUUCUUUUCCCUCAGAAGCUUUUUAUUUUUGUUUACUUCACUUUGUUUUUUUGCUAAUUCUUUUCUUUUUUUUUCUAUCUUGCCGAGCAGUGUGGAGCAUCUAUUGCUCAAACAACGGCUACUGACCAAAAAUUGCUCAUGCUUCCACCAUAAAUGCUGAUUGGGAGAACCUGUAAUAAUUAAAACGAGUGGUGCUCCUACGUACAGAUUUGUAAGUUAUACUAUUUCCUUAGUAUCAUUUGAUUUUUUGUUACUCCUCUUUGCUCGUCUGUUAAAUAUUUUGGACCAGUGUGUAGAAUCUAUUACCUCUGUGAAGUCGAGGAAAUAUCUAUAGAUCAGGAUAAAAUCUUUAUAUUUGCAUUGAGACAUUGUGAAAGAAAUCUAGUAUAGGUAGGAAUUGAGAUAAUUUGCUCCAGAAAGUUGGUUGCUUAAUAUAUGUCAGCAUGAUGUUUAUAACAAUUCAUAUAUUCUUGUGACAAAUCUCACUUUCCAUCUUAGUUGACUCUUAAGACUCCCUUUUCUUGUCUGUUAACCUAUGUUCCGUCUCAAAUCUUGCAGACUGGAAUAUUAUUUGCCAUCAUGAAAGUUGUUUCGCAUUUUUCAUUUCUUCUACAAAGAUAAAUGGGUCCAAGAAAUGCAACCUCACUUUCUCAAUCAGGAAACCAAGACCUUGAUAAGAGUUGCAUCAAUCUUGAAAUUUAAAGAAAUUGAGAACGACUUUGAAUGCCUACUUCCAUUAUUUACGCCAUGUUGUACCACAAUAAUUUCAAGUUUGAUGCGACUACAUAAUUACAUCAGUUUUUUUUUUUUUGGUAAUCAAAGAUCCAGAAUAUUGCAUCAGUUUUUUGGUCUUGAUAUUCAGAGAACUUUGGAGAUUAUGAAGUUUCCUUUGAGAACUUUGGAGAUUAUGAGUAAUAGUUUACACUGUCAUAAAUCAGCGAAAUAAAUUUACUUCGUUGGCACUCUCAUCAGUCAUCAGCCAGCGAAACAAAGAAACCAACACACCCAAUCUAAACCUGAAUUUUUUACAAAAUCAACACACCCAAUCUAAACCUGAAUUUUUUCUGUUGCAUUUUAAUGAUCCGACUAAAAAUAUUUAAAAGAUAGUUACUAAGUUUUAGUUUUUUUAAUGUAUUUAUAAUGUAAAGCUCUAUUUCAUUAGUUGAAAGCUGCAGAAGAUAAUGUUUUAAUGUCAAGUGCAAACACUUGGAGUUUUCGUUUGCCAAAUGAGACUCAUAUAAUAUGAGUUUUCUUAAUUAAGUAUUCAUAUUUUUGUAUUUCUAAUUAUGCAGUAAAAUCAAGGUGUUCAUUUAGUUCUCACUUUAAUUUAAGGUUGAAAAUGAUGAAUUUGAUUGGGGAAAUAGUGAAACAUUUUGAUUAUUCAUUUGCAAUAAAAGGAAAGAUACUUGAAGGUUUCUUUUUGUUAGAUUUUCUUCGUGGAAUUUGCUUAUGUUAGCUUUUUGGAGUUGUUCAGAAAUACCAUUAGAUCGGUUGAAGGCUAAUUGGAUAUAAUUGUCUUCAUGACGUGUUUGCUAAGUUUCUGUCGCCUAAUUCAGAUUCCACUGGAUUAGUUUCUACCCAAGAUUAUGCAUAUAUUUGGUGUAAGGUUGAAAAGUAAAAACCUCAAAUGAUAUAUGUAUUUUCUUUUUUAAAAAUACAAAGUUGCGAUGAAGAUUGAAAAUUUUGAUGGUAUUAAUUUUUAUAUGGAUCACCAUUGAGAACUUUGCCUGAGGUAUUAAUCUCCAUUUUCCCUAUUUAUAAAUGUUUCCUGUAGCUCCUAAUUGUGAUGCUUCAUUUACACAUUUUUUACAUUAUAUCUUAUUACAGGGAUAAAGUCUGUCAAGAGUCAAUUAGAUGUUACAGACUUGCAACUACUUGUUGUGCGUUAUAUAUAUAAUUGCAUAUUUCUUGGAUAUCAAGUAUUGGAUUGGUUUCUCAUUGCUUAUUGACUUAUACUCUUACGCGUUUUAAUUUCACAUCUCAAUUGCGAAAGAAAGAUAUCAUAUGUAGCUUGUGCAAAAUAUGAUGUCAUCUUACGUACUACUCUUUGUUGCAAUUUACCGUCCAGAUAACAUGACAGUUAAUUUUGUGGAAUUCUCCUUUGCUUGUCCUAUUAGCAUGAUUUGGUUGUUGAUCCAUUGUUGCUGUAGGAUUGUUCGAUCUUGUCUUUGUUGUUCUUAAACUUCGGUCAACAAAAAUCAUGAAUGGUCAGAAUAAUGCAAUUGAUUCGCAUCAGAGAUGAAUCUAAGGCUAAUAAACGGAUAGACGUAUCAUGAUGUAUUAUGACUGUUAGAGGGUGAACGAUUGAGAAGCCUUCAGUUCUUGAUUAAGCCUUCACAUUGCUUUGUUCUUCUAGCUUCUUCAGUAUAAAAAAAAUUGCUUGUGAGCCAUAUCUUGAAUUUGACACUUCUUCACCUGGCAGUAAGCUUAGAAAUCACUUUUUAUAGUCAAAUAGAACUAUAAAUAUAGACAGUGUAUGGUCUGUAAUAGAUCUACUUGUUUAUACUCAUCAUUAUGUCGAAGGGUUGUAAAGAAGAAGAUAUGAUACAGAACUUCAGAGAUCUUUCUCUAGUAGUCUGUAGUUUAUACGAUUAUCUUAAUGGAAGUCCCAAUUGACUGCUGCAUUCUAACCCUACCAUUGGUAGCCUAACUUAUACUUCAUAUCUUUAUCUUUCCUGUUAAAGAUACUUAUAAUUAACACUUGCAUUAUUUUUUACAACCGAGCUAGAAUUUUAGCUAUUUGUGUUAAAAUUGUGUAUUUGCAUUAAGAAAUCUACUUAUUGCUCAGAACCAAUUACUUUCUUUUUUUUGUAAAAUUCAGAAUUCAUAAACUCAAAUGCAAGUUUCACAAAUGAAAAGUCAUGUGCCUUUUAACUUGGAUUUUGGAGCCUACAAAAUAUGUGGAAAAUCCUGAAUAAAUGGGUCAGUGGAAUAAUAUGUGAGUUGUAAACCCAAAGAAGAUCAAAUGAAAUAUCCCAAUCUUGUAUUCCCAAGAAAUUGGAGAGAUUUUGUAAUGAAAGAAGAAAAUUGUGAAGCGGCAAUUAGGAAAGAAGAGAGAGUACACAUUCAGUGAACCAAAAGAGUGACAACAAAAGUCUUUUUCUAAGAACAUUCCCUUUUUGUAGAUUGUUUCCUAUAUUUCUUAUCCAAAUACAGUGUAUGCACAAGAGUGUAGCUAAAGCAAUACUGAACUAGUCACGUAUCAGGAUUUCUGAAGCAAUACAGCAUUCAAUUGUUGUCUCAGUUAGAUUGCUCCUUUUUUACAAAUGUAACCGUAGGUUUUCCAAAAUGAUAGCUUGAGUCCCUUUUCAACAAUCAUGUAAUGCUAAUUUUUUCUGUUGUUUUGCAUUUUCGUCUUUGCUAUUCGUAAGCCUGGGAUAAACUUUUGUCAUCUGGAAUUUGAAAAGUUAUGUUUUACUCCUUAUGAUAUGCAGAUAUGUAGUUGCAGAGAUAAAGCAUAUGACAAUCUGGCUCGGAAAGAACAGUUUGACAUCCAAGACAGUGAAGAGCUUAAUAGAAUGAAGGAAGAAAAUGUCAAUCUGCAAGAAAAGCUGAAUAAUACAGGUAUUAUUAAUUGAUAUUCCAGACGGUACAAAUUUGUAAAAUAUAAAAAAUCGCUUGUGAGCCAUAUAUGAUAUAUUGAAUUUUAAACUUCUUCACUUGCAAUAAUCACUUUCUUAGUUAAAUAAAACAAUAGUAUUUCAUUUCUUUUCUAGAGGAAUCAUACAUGUACAGCUAUAAACAUAGAGAUAUGUGUGCUGGUCUGUAAUUGCAAUACGUGGAUUGGCCAAGAAUUCUAAAAAUUCUUUUUAAUUGCUUUCAGUAAGGAGGUUGUGAUUUCCAAGUCGUACAGCUGUCUACUGUGGCUUCCUUGAGAUGAAACAUGACUUGCUGCAAAUGGAAUGUCAAGCUCUAAUGUACCCAAAGGCCGGAUGAGGACAAAACCAUGGCUGUUCACGCUUCAACUCAGUUUCCUGAGUAUACGCAUAGUUUGAUUGAUGUUGUCUUGGUGUUCCCGAACAUAAUAUCUGUGUGAUAACAGGAAGGGCUGAAGGUGGCUUUGGCGGCAAGAAAUAUGCCAGUGAGUACCCACAAGGAUUUUCGUUUAAAGCUACAGAUAAAAAAGGCCUUUUUGUUUAAAGUUGUUGCUUGGAAAUAGUUUUGCUCCUUUCAGUCUUAUGUUUUGUUUAAAAUUUUUGUAACCAAUCCUUCUUCGCGGGGGUGGGGGGAUUGAGGGGGUGACUGCAUUAUCAACCACUACAGUGAUUAGUAUAUUUCAUAAUAUUUAAGGUAUAUUCAUUGUUCAGUUAAGAGAACACAAGAGCUCAGCUUUUUAGAGGACCAUAAAUAUCUAAGGAUAAAUGAAAUGGGCAAAAAAGUUCCAUAUAUAUCUAUGUUGACCACAAAAACAAAGAAACUCUGCUCCAUCGCAUACCUUCACUUCCUAUGAACCGUCCAAAGGAAAGAUAUAUUCGAUUGAACAAAGAGCUAAGCUGCCUUUCAACGCAAAAGGCAUUAUUACACACAUAAGAGGGGAGAAAACAGGAAAAGAACUAUCAUACAAUAUGGAGAAAAAAAGCUCAAAACCAUUGUGCUCACGCAUAAGCAUGGAAAUAUGGGCUUUCAAGGUAGAAAAGUUAUGGCUGCAUGCCAACAAGCUUUAUCGGCAACUGGAUUAAACUGAACAACAAUUAAUGCCAGAGUUGUUGUCAGUGGAGUCCACAUUCCAUACAUUCUCAAGCAUGUUAAGAGUGACUCUGUGGUGGUAGUAAGAGAAUCGAAAAAUAAAUAAGAAUGUCUUGUUAUAUAAUUUCAUAUAGUAAGAUAGCAAGAAAAACUAACUUUCGAAAGAAGUGUUUUUGCCUCGAUAAUUAUCUAACAAGAGUGUCGAUGCAAAAGUAGUUUUUUUUCGUGAGAAAAUACCAGAUUAAAAAAAGUAACGUAGACGUCAGUUUAAGCUUAUAGGGCAAUUGAUGUGGGCCCACCCUCAUAUUUUCCACGUCAAUAGUCAAGAUGACAUCAUUAAUUAUUUAACUCUACACCAUACUUACUUGUAUGGAAUAUUUGUAUUAAAUAUACUCUUAUAGUAUCAUUUACUAAUGAAUAAUUUCUAAUAUAUGAUGUCAUUUAUAAAAUUUCAAAUAAAAGUAUUCCAAAGUAGAGGGCUAGAAUCAAAGGGUAGGGGUUGGGGUACAAAAAUAAAUAAAUAUAUGAUGUCAUUUAUAAAAUUUGUCUUCGCUAUUUUCAUUAAGGAAAUUGUUUUUCCUCAUUUUUAAGUGACUUAAUUUCCUGUUUCUUUUCAAGUCUUUGUUUUUUCGUUAAGUGAUAUGUUAGGCCCAAUUAAGCACUAAAAUGAGCUGUUAAAAGCAGUAGUGCAUAAAGCAAAAGUAAUGAAUCAUAUUUCUUAGUUGGUAGGUGUUGUCUUUUAUUGUUUUGUUUAUUUAUUUUGGUGGGCUGUACACUUAGGCAACCCACAUGAUUUUGUAUAUAUUUGCUCUUAGUUUAAUAAAAAUCCUGACCCAUCUGGUCUUUGAUUUAAAAAAAAAAGAAAAAGUAAUGAAUCAUAAAGCUAAAAAUACUUUUCUUUAUUGCCUCAAUUAUUUUCGAAUCUUUGUUUUUUCAGUCAAGAAAAGAGAAUUGUUUUGCUUCUUUCUUGUAGACAAAAGAGAGAAAUCAGUGAUCAUCUUGUUUGGGAAUUACUCUUAGCAUUCAACAGGUACAUAAAGAAGUUGUUAGUAAUUAAUGAUAGAAAAAUAUUUAUCUUAAAAAAUCAUUUUGUUUUGAAUUUGCAGAUUUCAGAAAUGGAGGUUGUCUUGGCAGUUGGUGGUGUAUUUCUCUCUUCAGCUUUGGAUGUUCUCAUUGAUAGGCUUGCUCCUCAGGGCGAUCUUCUCAAAAUGUUUCGGAAGCGUAAGAAUGAUGUUGAGCUCUUAAAGAAGCUGAAAUUGACUUUGCUUGGUCUUCAAGCUGUGCUAAGUGAUGCAGAGAAUAAGCAAGCAUCAAAUCAAUUUGUGAGAGAGUGGCUUAAUGAGCUUCGAGUUGCUGUAGACUCUGCUGAAAACUUGAUUGAACAAGUCAAUUAUGAAGCUUUGAAGCUUAAGGUGGAAGGUAAGCAUCAAAAUCUUGCAGAAAAAAUAUUGAAGCAUUGUAGAUUUUGCAGCCUGUGCUUGGGUGAUCAUUCUUUUCUUAACAUAAAUGAAAAGUUGGAAAAGACUAUUGAAACAUUGGAGAAUUUGCAAAAUCAAAUUAGUGACCUUGGCUUACAGAAACAUUUUGGUUCGACUAAACAAGAAACUAGAACUUCAACUUGUUUGGUUGAUGAAUCUGAUAUCUUUGGUUUACACAAGGAAAAAAAGGAUAUGAUUGACCGUUUAUUGUCUGAAGAUGCAAGUGGAGGAAACCUGACUGUAGUUCCUAUUGUUGGAAUGGGCGGCACGGGUAAGACAACACUAGCUAAAGUUGUUUACAAUGAUGAGAAGGUGAAGAACCAUUUUGGUUUGAAAGCUUGGUAUUGUGUUUCUGAGCCAUAUGAUGCUUUGAGAAUAACGAAAGGGUUACUUCAAGGAAUUGGCUCAUUUGACUCGAAGGAUGACGGCAAUGUUAAUCAGCUACAGGUCAAAUUGAAGGAAAGCCUGAAGGGAAAGAAGUUUCUUGUUGUCCUUGAUGAUGUGUGGAAUGAUACCUAUAGUGAGUGGGAUAACCUGAGAAAUGUUUUUGUACAAGGAGUUAUGGGAAGUAAGAUCAUUGUAACAACACGUAAGGAGAGUGUUGCUCAGAUGAUGUGUGCUGAUCGUUGCGCAAUCACCAUGGGGACUCUGUCUAGUGAAGACUCUUGGGCUUUAUUCAAACGACAUUCACUAGAAAAUAGGGAUCAUCCAGAACUUGAAGAGGUUGGGAAAAAAAUUGCAGAUAAGUGCAAAGGGUUGCCUUUAGCUCUAAAGGCACUUGCUGGUGUUUUACGCGGCAAAUCAGAGGUAGAUGAGUGGAGAAACAUUUUAAGAAGUGAAAUAUGGGACCAGCGUUGUUGGAAUGGUAUAUUACCAGCAUUGAUGUUGAGCUACAAUGAUCUUCCUGCACAUUUGAAGCGAUGCUUUGCUUUUUGUGCAAUAUAUCCCAAAGAUUAUCAAUUCUGCAAAGACAAACUUAUUUACCUGUGGAUUGCUAAUGGUCUUGUAAAGCAGUUUUGUUCAGGUAACAAAUACUUUGACGAGUUGAGAUCAAGAUCAUUGUUUGAGAGGGACCCAGAGUCUGAAUGGGAAUCAGAGAGAUUCUUAAUGCAUGAUCUUAUAAAUGAUUUGGCCCAAACUGCAUCUUCAAAACUUUGUAUUAGGUUGGAAGAGACCGAAGGAUCUGAUGAUAUGUUGGAACAAUGUCAGCACAUGUCCUAUUCCAUGGGACAAGAAGGUGAAUUUGAGAAAUUGAUACCACUCUCCAAAUCAGAGCAGCUGAGGACAUUGCUUCCAACCAAUAUCAGUAACUUUUCUGGGCUAAGCAAGAGGGUGCUACAUAACAUACUUCCAAGACUAACAUCCUUAAGGGCAUUAUCAUUGUCAGGUUAUAGGAUUACGGAGUUGCCAAAUGACUUGUUUAUCAAAUUAAAGCUCCUCAGAUUUUUGGACCUUUCUGAGACACAGAUUGAAAAGUUGCCAGAUUCCAUUUGUGUCUUGUAUAACUUGGAAACCCUUCUCCUGUCAUCUUGUGAAAAUCUUGAGGAGCUACCGCUGAAGAUGGAGAAGUUGAUCAACUUGCGUCACCUCGACAUAAGCAACACUUCUCGCUUGAAGAUGCUGCUACAUCUGAGCAUGUUGAAAAACCUCCAAGUCCUACUGGGAGCCAAGUUUCUUAUAGGUGGUAGCGGUGGUUUGAGAAUGGAAGAUUUGGGUGAAGUACAUAACUUGUAUGGAUCUCUAUCAGUUUUAGAGUUGCAAACUGUAGUUGAUAGAAGGGAAGCUCUGAAGGCAAAUAUAAAGGAAAAGGAACAUGUUGACAAGUUAUCAUUGGAGUGUAGUGAAGGUAGUUUUGCUUACGAUUCUCAAACUGAAAGAGAGAUACUUGAGGAGCUACGCCCAUACACAAACAUAAAAAAUGUCGAAAUCACCGGAUAUAGAGGGACCAAAUUUUCAAAUUGGCUGGCUGAUCCUUCGUUUCUUCAGCUAGUAGAAUUGUAUCUUAGCAACUGCAAGGACUGUGAUUCUUUGCCAGCACUAGGACAGCUUCCUUCUUUGAAAUUCCUUGACAUUAGAGGGAUGCAUGGAAUAACAGAGGUGACGGAAGAGUUCUAUGGAAGUUCAUCCUCCAAAAAGCCUUUUAACGCUCUUGAGAAGCUUGAAUUUGAAGAUAUGCCGGAGUGGAAGCAAUGGCACGUACUAGGAAGUGGGGAGUUCCCUAUACUUGAGUACCUUUCAAUUAGAAAAUGUCCAAAGUUGAUGGGGAAGUUGCCUGAAAAUCUAUGUUGUCUGAUAGAAUUGAGAAUUUCAGAGACACCUCUUUUUGAUGAAGCUCAACUGCUUAGAUCCCAAUUUGAGGGAAUGAAGCAGAUUGCUGAAUUAGAUAUCAAAAUUUGUAACUCUCUUACCUCCUUACCUUUUAGCAUAUUGCCCAGUUCCUUGAAGAGAAUAGCGAUAUCUCAUUGUCAGAGAUUGAAAUUGGAGGAGCCAGUUGGUUAUUGUAACAUGUUUCUGCGGAGCUUGCAACUGUAUAAUUGUGAUUGUAUAGAUGAUAUAUCACCUGAGUUGCUCCCAAGAGCACGUUCUUUGAAGGUACAUGCUUGCUAUAACCUUGCUAGGUUUUUGAUUCCUACUGCAACUGAAAGUCUCACUAUUCGGGAUUGUGAGAAUCUUGAAAUACUUUCAGUGGCAGUUGGAACCCAUGAGUCUGCCAUGACGUCUUUGCAUAUUUGGGAUUGUGAGAAGCUCAAGUGUCUGCCAGAAAUAGAUCUCUUCAAUUUACAAGUCCUUAAGAUCUAUAAUUGCAAGAAACUAGUGAACGGCCGAAAGGAGUGGUGUUUACAGAGACUCCCCUGUCUCACAGAGUUAGAGAUCAGACAUGAUGGCAGUGACGAAGAGAUCCAACAUUGGGAAUUGCCUUCCUCUAUUCAAACACUUAGAAUAGAGAAUCUGAAAACAUUAAGCAGCCAAGUUCUCAAAAGCCUCACCUCUCUUAAAUAUCUAUCUAUUGAUUGGCUUCCCUCCUCUCUUUCUCAGCUACAUUUAUGUUACUAUGAUGAGCUCCAUUCACUACAUCUUUGCCACCUCACUUCUCUUCUAAGUCUACAUUUAAAUUGUCGUAAUCUCCAAUCACUCUCUGAAUCAACACUGCCCUCCUCCCUCUCUCAGCUGACCAUCUCUCAUUGCCCUAAUCUCCAAUCACUCUCUGAAUCGCAUAUAGGUGUGUCUGCUCCUGAUUAAGAUAAGGUGUUAUAUCUUUAUGAAUAUUAAAUUAUCUUCCAAAUUCUUUUUUUUUUUUGGGGGGGGGGGGGGUGGGGGGGAUCAACCGCAUAUGGCAAUUUAGAUCUCUAAAAUCCGCACCAAUUAAGAAGGGAAAAUCGUUGAAUCUUUUAAUUUGCUUGUAUUGUUCGCUUUGUGCUAGGCGCACACAAUUUUAAAAUAUUAUUUAAGAGUGAAAAUUAUUUUCGCUUUUCAACUUUGCUGUAAAAAUUAAACUCCAUUUCAAUUUUAAUAAUCGAACUCCUCCCUUUAUUCUAAUUAAUUUUUUAAAAAUACCUAUUAUACCCUUUCAUUAUCUUGUGACAAAUCUCACUCUUCAUCUUAGCUGGCUAUUACAACUCACUUUUCUUGUCUAUUAACAUAUGUUCUCUCUCAAAUCUUGUAGACUGAAAUAUCUCCACCAUAGAAGUCGAUGGAGAAUACAUUUAAUGAUUAAAGCGAAUGGUGCUCUCAACAAUGUAAGUUUUUCUUUGUCCUCAGAAGCUUUCUAUUUUUGUUUUGUUCCCUUUGCUUUCCCUUUUUUAAGAUCUUGUUGAGCAGUAUGGAGUGUCUAUUACCACUAUGAAGCCAAAAAAUCAUCUUUAGUUCGAGAUAAAUUUAAUUUUCGAUAACCACAAUAAACAAAGGUGAGAAAAUCUUUAUAUUCGUGUGGGAACACUGUAAAACGAAAUCUAGUAUAUAUUCGUGUGGGAACACUGUAAAACGAAAUCUAGUUUAUGCUUUGAACUGUUUAUACAUAAAUCUGUGUGAUCAUUAGAAUGAUGUAUAUCUUUGAUAUUAAUGACGUUUAAUAUUCUUUUCAGAAUAUAAAUUAUGUUGUGCUUAUCAUCAGACUUACUGCAAAUGGGACGUACAGCUCUGAUGGAACCCAAAGGUACGUGAUAAAAAAGUUGUUUAAAUAACACACGAGAGAUAUUGACAUUAUGGUCAUAGAUUAUAAGGAAAGAUAUUACUUUUUCAUUGUUAGGAUUUUGACAAGGCUCGGUGCUCAUUUGGGAAGUGAAAAGUUUCGAAGGUCUCUCUGUUCAAGUCAAGAAGUGAAAGCUAUUGAACUAUGUAUGUAAUAGCUUGUAUUGUUUACUUUGGGUCCUAUGCUCCUUCGACUUUAAAAUGCCUCAUUUGGGUCUAAUGUCACUUCUUUUUAUUCCAACAAUCAAUAUCGUUCUUGUGUUUUGUUUGAUGUGGUAUAUGCCCUAGGAUGCUACAAUGUUGUUCUUUUUACUCUAGAUACCAAGACGGAAAGCAAGAGACGACACAAUUAUUGAACUUUCUGUAUUGAGAAAUCUGAAUUUCUGGACGCAAAUGGUUAGAGAAAACUGUAAAUGCAAUGUAAAAUGCAUAAGAAUCAGGGGAGAUUUUGAGGAGUGAGAUUUGUUUGUGUAAUUUUGUAAUGUUGUUAUUACUAAUUAAAUGAUAUGUGUGUAUUUCAGUUCAUACUGCUUAAAAUUUCUUCAUUUGAGGAUGU